UCAAGUAAUUGCAUUUAUCCGAUGUAGACUGUAUUUUAUUUAUAAUACAUUUCGGAGUUAUAAUAGAACGUGGCAACACUCUUCCAACAGAAAAGAAUUAUAAAUGCCGUUAUAAUUUACAUUAAAACACCUGGCAUAACUCAUUUCGUCUACAAAAGAAAUCAACAAAUUCAAAAACUAAUCUUUAUUGCAAUCAGUGAUACACAUUUCCAAACAAACGAUCAUAAACCAAUCAAAAAUGGCCGCAUAUGAAUUAUCAUUUACUUUCGAUGAUGAUGAUAAUGAGAUAGACUAUGAUAAUGAUUAUUUCGCUGGUGAUAUGCAUGAUUUUGAAAUGAUGUGGCAAGAUAUUGGUGAAGAAAUCCACGAAAAAGAAGAGAAUGAACGAUUUCAGAAAAUGUUUCAUCAACAGCUAUUCAUAUCCGAAGGUUUCGAGAGAUCGACGUUUGAACGUUACAUUUAAAACUAACAUUGUAUUUUUAUUUUUAUUAUUAUGUAUUAUUAAAUUUAUUUUUAUUAUUUAUAGUUUUAAUGACUUUUUUCCUAUAAACUAAAUAUUUAUUUGUUAUUAAUGUAGAACAACAAAAUCAUUUACUGUUUUAAUUUAUUGAGACUGUACUGUGAUAAGAGUUCCUUGUUAUUUCACAUACAUAGUAGCUGUGAUAUAAAUUAAUAUAUUAAUAUACAAUAUGUUAAAAAUUAUGUUUUUUUAAUACAAAAUGAAGGAUUUUUAACAGACUUGUCCUAAAUUCAAUAAUCGUUUUAAUGAUUUAAUUUAUCGAUCGAUUUGUCAGCAACAUUCUCGUUUUAAACUAGAUAAUGUAAUAGAAAAGUAUUGAUGCAGAAAAAAAUUAACUUAAUUUGAUUGCAAACGGUCGUGAAUAAGAAAUAUGCGUAUUUCUAUUUUAUAUAAAACAAUUUAUACAAAUUGCAAACAACGAAAAUCAAUAGUGCAGGAACAAAUGAAAUAGUACAAAUUUCAGACUUAAGUUAAAAUACGUAUUAACUUAAAAUUCUGAACAUUUUAUGAUAUUGUAAAUAUAUAAAUUGUUACUAUAUGUUAAUUAUAUAUUGCUUAUGGUCUUAUAAGUAUAUUGUUAAUUGAAAAUCUUUAUAACGUUUAAACAAUAAAAAAAUAAUCAUAAAGUUAACAAGAA